rnacentral:rRNA from 1 species
AGUGAACGCUGGCGGUAGGCCUAACACAUGCAAGUCGAACGGCAGCACAGUAAGAGCUUGCCCUUACGGGUGGCGAGUGGCGGACGGGUGAGGAAUACAUCGGAAUCUACUUUUUCGUGGGGGAUAACGUAGGGAAACUUACGCUAAUACCGCAUACGACCUACGGGUGAAAGCAGGGGAUCUUCGGACCUUGCGCGAUUGAAUGAGCCGAUGUCGGAUUAGCUAGUUGGCGGGGUAAAGGCCCACCAAGGCGACGAUCCGUAGCUGGUCUGAGAGGAUGAUCAGCCACACUGGAACUGAGACACGGUCCAGACUCCUACGGGAGGCAGCAGUGGGGAAUAUUGGACAAUGGGCGCAAGCCUGAUCCAGCCAUACCGCGUGGGUGAAGAAGGCCUUCGGGUUGUAAAGCCCUUUUGUUGGGAAAGAAAAGCAGCAGGUUAAUACCCCGCUGUUCUGUCGGUACCCAAAGAAUAAGCACCGGCUAACUUCGUG